UCUUGUGAAUCCGGUUUAACAGCUUUUUCCUAAAGUUGCUCCAAAGACGGCAGAAAAUUUCCAAGCACUCUAUACUGGAGAGAAGGGAAUUGGCUAGAAGAUAGGGAGGCCACUGCACUUGAAGGGGUCAUUUUUUCAUUGGAUCAUUAGAGGCUCUAUGGCUCAGGGUGGUGAUUUUCACAAAAGAGAUGGUAAGAAUUUUUUCAUGGCUGUCCAAUUUGUCUGUUUGUUUGUAAUUUCACUCAUCUUCCAUGGUUGCUUUUGAGGCCUAAACUUUGGAUUUUCUUGUUAUGUGGCAAUUUAUUGAGGUUCUUUUUUCUUUUUUUGUCUUUGGUUUAUGUUAUGUGCAUCUCGUUGGUCAAGAUGGACAACGCUACAAAUUGCUAUUGGUGAACAGGCCAAUGGCCAUCAUAUGUGAUUAUGUGCAUAUACGCGACUUGUUUACUUAUUAGUUAGUUUGGAUGAGUCUAGUACGUGUCACUACACAUUCAUCACACCAAUGCGUUCUUUGAAAGCUAUGUUACCUUUGAAUCUCAACAAAAUGCUGUUCGGUUUUGAAUUAAUA